rnacentral:misc_RNA from 1 species
ACCAUUGAUCAAUACCAAUCCUUCCACCAUGGGACUUGGGAACAUUUAGUGACUUUACAAACUGAGAUGGACCAACACCAGUAGACCAUACCAAGAGGCCAUAUGGAACUUCAGUACCAUCACUGAGAACUAAUUUUGUGGCACCUCUUUCACUACGCCUCGUGUGAGCCGGACACCACACUUGGUCAAAUGAUUUGUUGCAUAUUGCCUUAGUCCAACAUCAAAGGAUGAUAGAAUUU